CUGUCUCUGCCUGCUGCGGACAAAUGUAGUGCACAUGAGUAUCAAUCGCACCUGCCGUGACAAUCAAUCCCUCUGCCGAUAAUAUUUCAGUUCCGGUACCUAUGACCAUCUUUGGAUCUACACCGUCCUGCGUAUCUGGAUUUCCUGCUUUUCCAAUUCCGGCAAUCAGUCCGUCUUUAAUACCAAUAUCGGCCUUAUAUAUUCCUGUAUAAUCAAUCACAAGUGCAUUGGUCAGACAAAAAUCUAAUGCCCCUGCUUUAUUUGUCAUACCAGACUUCUGUCCCAUUCCAUCUCG
rnacentral:sRNA from 1 species